AUCUAUCUGACCUGUCCGAAAUAGGAUGAUACGCGCGUCUUGGAU
rnacentral:hammerhead_ribozyme from 1 species